CCAGGACGAAAUUCAGUCGGCACGAGAUGGUCUUCGUCAGAUGCGGAGCGCAGCGACGUUAGAGGUUUUCGACGCUGCGUGGAUCGCCCUCAAGCGGCAGCCAGCGUGAUGAUUGAGUCUGUGCGAUCUAAUGUAAUGCUGCGUUGGUGAUCGAAUUCUGAAUUUUUUGCUUAGAUUCAGUUUUCGUUGGUGAAUUGAAUUCUAAGAACCCCACUAUCAGUCUUCAUGCAUUUGGUUAUGCUUGAUAAAGCUUGAUCUGAGAACAAUAUAGUAUUUAGUUACUACUC
rnacentral:lncRNA from 1 species